CUACCCUGCACGCUGCUGCGGAGCAUCUCCGGUGAGCCGCUGAGCAGCCACAGGCGGCCUCCCAUUGAAGCCAGCAGGAGCUGAAGGUUGCCUUCGUUCCCGGCUGACCCAUCAAGCCACCGUGCCGAGUGCACUGGAAUCACAAACCAGGGAGAAUUCUCCUAGCCUCUCCCAGCAAGUCAUGGAUCAGGGAAGGAUCUAGCCCCAGUGGCUGGAGGGAAUCCCUAAAGCAGUCACGCAGGGGGCAGGAUAGAGAAAAACGUCAGAGCACUGCCCAUGGGGAAGCUGACAGCUACUGCCAAGCUAGGCAGAGUCACUGCAGGAAUCUCUUAUGCUGUAAGUAAGAAACAAGGGAACAUCAUGCCAAGUUAGGAGAAAACCAAUUCAUCUUCCCUGACCUAUUUCUGGACAUGCUCUGAAGGGAAGAGAAGAAACUGUCUGUCAGGAUCAAAGGAAAUUAUGCAUGUUGAACUGACAACCGGUCUUUCUGUGAGUUCACACCAUCAAGUGGCAGAUUGGCACUGCUGUCUCUGUUAUAUCCCCGAUUUUUCCACUCGGCAGA